GGGGAUGUGGUGAAAUUGGUAUACACGCUAGUUUUAGGAACUAGUGCCGCAAGGCGUGUAGGUUCGAGUCCUAUCAUCCCCACCA
rnacentral:tRNA from 1 species